CCUUACCAGGUCUUGACAUCCUUAGACCACUAGAGAGAUAGAGCUUUCCUUUCGGGGACAAAGUGACAGGUGGUGCAUGGUUGUUGUCAGCUCGUGUCGUGAGAUGUUGGGUUAAGUCCCGCAACGAGCGCAACCCUUAUUACUAGUUGCCAGCAUUUAGUUGGGCACUCUAGUGAGACUGCCGGUGACAAACCGGAGGAAGGUGGGGAUGACGUCAAAUCAUCAUGCCCCUUAUGACCAGGGCUACACACGUGCUACAAUGGAUGGUACAAAGAGUCGCAAAGUCGCGAGGCCAAGCUAAUCUCUUAAAGCCAUUCUCAGUUCGGAUUGUAGUCUGCAACUCGC
rnacentral:rRNA from 1 species